GAGGCUGGGGCUGGAAGGAGGAAGCGCAGCGAAGGAGGAAGGAGAAGACGCGCCACGACUGGGCAGGGAAGAGACCGGCAUCCAGACAGGUGUUGAAGACAGAGGUGAUCUACUGUCCCUGCCAUACAGCCUGGUCGAGGGUGAGGACUACACAUCUGAAAAUUCAGCCCUCCUCUCCAGUGCCAAGAACAGUCCACAAGACUCAAACCUGUGAAUGCUGCCUUACAUGGAGAAAGGGACUGCGCAGAUGUGAUUACGUUAAGGAUCUUGAGUUGGGGGAUUAUCCUAGAUUAUCG